rnacentral:sRNA from 1 species
GAGCUCGUUUUGAAAACUGAAAAAAAAAUAACAAUCAUUCGGACAAGGUUGCUCCUGCGUAAAAUAGAUUUAAGAAAUUCGAAGCUU